rnacentral:lncRNA from 1 species
CAUUGUGACUUUGGUUCUUGGCUUUGUGCCCUGUUUCUUUACCUAUUUGGGGAAGUGUUCAUUACAAAAUUGUUUUUAUAACUGCUUCUCUUUUUUUGCCAUUGACAAGGAAGCAUUGGGGGAAACAGGAUCCCCAACGUACUUUGCCAUAGCUACUUGGUUUCCCUGAGUUUCACACUUUCACACACCAGCUUGUGACAGCAAAUUGUCCCAUCCUCACACCAUCCUGAGAUCACUCAGCUUCUUCCCUUUGCUCUCCCUAUGGCUGUAGCCGCUGCCUGGCACGGGACAAGCACUCGAGAAAUGCUUUUUGAAAGAUGAGUCCUAAAUAGAAUCAGCAGAUGCACCCAGAGCAGCUCCUGCUUCCACGAAAGCCUGUGCAGCGCUGCCACUCUACAAGAUCCCUCUUCGAACUGAUCAGAAUGUGUAUCGUCACCCAGUGCACCGGCUCUCCACGCUGCAUUGCUCAUCCUCACACAUUGAAACUAAACACGUCGAAAAUGUCACAGAUGCUCCAACAGCAAAGGAAAUUGGCAUCUAAAAAAUCGAGCGGGGGAAGUGAUCAUAGAAAGCUUCGUGGAUACACCACAUUUUAAAGACUAAGCAUCGUCGGGGAAGCGGUGCCAGGCCAAGGGUGGUGUGUGGGGAAGUAUACAGAGCCGUGAGAGAGGCAGAGCGAGGCAUGUGGGGGAUGAGCAGAGGAAGAGCUGGAGGAAAGGCAUAUUGAGGAGUGUAAGGAGGACGAGGGCCAGGACUUGAGGGCUGAUGAUGUGAAGUCCUGAGCGCUGCGGGGAGCUGCUGGGGAGUGUUAGACAGGCCACAGUGUCAUCAGAAUCGAGUGUGGAAAGUGUUAUUCUGGCAGUCCGGUGGGGAUUGUUUGGGAAAACUGUAGGCAAGGACAUCACCUUGCAAUUCUGGCAGCCGGGUGGGGGUUGUUUGGGAAAAUUGCAGGCAAGGACCUCACCAUGCAAUUCUGGGCAAACAGAGAUGAUGCCUGUGUCAGAUGCUGGUAGGGAGAGCUUUCCUAGAGCUCCUCUUUUCUCAAUAAAAUGGGAGACAAGCUCAUCAGCUGAGCGUAAGAUGUAGGAGGUGUGGAAGGUUUGAGGAGAGGGGAGGUGGGGUAACUGAACCGUGCCAGACUCCUGAGAAGCCACGAAGGGAUGGAAUUCAAGUCACAGGUGGGAGGCUGCAUGUAGAUGGCUGAAGGGCCUUCUGUCCUGGCACGGAAAUGGUGCAGGAGGGCAGGUGCAAAGAGAGGCUGGUGUGUAUAGAUGGAGUGGGGGACACUCCGUCUCUGGGGUCUUUGGUCCUGUCCUCACUAGUGUCUUGAGGGUUGCACAAUGUCAAGGCACCCCCUUGGCAGGGCAAUGCUGAUGGCCACAGAGCAUGGCCUGCACUGCUUGGUUUUAUGCCGGAAGGUUUUCCCAACUUCCAGUAUCAGGAAGAGGAGGCUGGAGAUUCUGUUCCUGGGCUCCCAGGAGGCCCUGGGUUUUCCUCUGCAGGUUCCUCAUCAACCCCAACCCAGAGGUCUGCGUACCAAGGAAGGCCAUCUCUACAAUAGAAAACAAAACAACAACAAUUAAAACCUCGAAGCUUCUAUUGCACUCUUUAGGCUUAUGAAGGGAAGCAACUAAGGUGAUUCUUCACAGGUAACCUGCUACCUCCACCUCCAGAUAUAAAGAGGUUGGUUUAACUGCAUAUUCCACACCAGCAGGCUCUCAGCUGAGACUUUGGCAGAAGCUUGGGCUGAAGGGCCUCUCCUGACACUGACCUAGAGGUGGAGUCUGGAUUCCAGCAUCCCUUGCACAGAGUUUCUAUUAUGUUUUAAUAUAGUAAAUGACAUUUUUUUUUUGCUUCUUUUGUACCCUAAAAUGGAAUUCAAUGGCCUUGCUGAUUUGAAUCCAUCAGCUUGCCUUGCUUUCCAAAGCCCCAUUCUCUCCCGUCUCUCCCCAUCCCACAGGUAGUGUGUCUCCUCCUUCCCAGCACUCUUCACUUUUGGCUCUUUGUUACUUUACCUUCAUUUCCUAUCCAGUCUGUUCAGCUUCCUCCUCUCUUCCCAGUUCCCCAACUCCCAACCAAGGCUCCCUGCUCACCCCAUUCUCUUCUCUCAUUUUUUUACUUGAAAAAGACAGAGGUCCAAGCACACAAGAUUUUCAUGAUGUAUUUCGUGAAAAUACAAUAAAAAAUGAAAGGCCAGCUCACCUGUGUCUUAGUCAGCUCGUGCUGCUACAGGGAAAUACCAUAGACUGGGUGGCUUGGGCAAGUGUUUACUUCUCAUGGUUCUGGAAGCUGGAAGUCUGAGAUCGGGGUGCCAGCAUGGUUGGGUUCUGGUAGUAAUGUGAGGCCAUGUGAGGCCAUUAUCUCUUCCUGGCCUUCUUUGGUGCAUGCACACAGAAAGGCCUCUGUCUCCUCCUCAUUUGGUAUGGGCAUUAAUCCCAUCACGAGGCUCUGCCCUUGAAUGCAACCUAAUUACUUCCCAAAGUCCCCAUCUCCAAAUAGCAUCACAUUGGAGAUUAGAAUUUCAGCAUCUGAAUUUUGAGGAGACACAAACAUUCUGCCCAUAGCAUCCUAAUUCUGGAGAUGUUGUCUGGAGGCAGUGGGGUUGGGAGAAGGGCCGGUCCUGGAAAGUGAGUCUGCAGCCCAGACCCACCAACCCACAACUGCCACAGUCAGGGGUAGGGUUUUUGUUCUGAUGACAUUGACAGUAUUCAGAAAUGCCCAAAGUAUCAGUCAGGCCCUGGCAUGAGAAUUGAUAAAGAAUUCCAUAAAGGAUUAGGCAAAAGCUGGAGGUGAGAGAAAAUGCCAAAAUCACAUUUCUCAGCCUUCCUGGAAGUGAAGGAACUGGAGUCUCAUUGGGGGGGAAGUAUGAGGCUGAAGGGUGUUGUGUCCACAGGUUCAUUCCAUUCAUGAAAAAGAGAUCCCUUGCUGGGGCAUCUUAAUGUCAGAAGCUUCAUUUGACAAGCAAAGAAAACACAUACAGGACGUCUCUGUAACCUGUAAAUGUGCGUAUAAAACACAGGGCAAUGGCUGUUUGAAGAGGGAGCAGAAAGCCCAUUGUGGCUCUUUGGAUAACUGAAGAAACAAGUGUGCAAAAGUUUCUUUCACCGAAACCAGGACCAUCCCCGCAAAUGUGAGGCUCACAUAUGGGCUGUGGCAACCCAACCAUUAAACUGUGGAGAAGGAAGGUGGAGAGUGCCUGUAUAUGGAAAGAAGAAAAGCUAACUUCAUGGCUUUCUUGUAUUAACUGAGGCUUCCAGUUUAUAAAUGGAGAAAGAAUGAUGGAACCAGAUCAUUAUCAUUUUGCAACAGCUGAUAAAAUAGUGGGCACAGACAACAACAGUUAAUGGCUACUGACAUCACAAAGAGACUAUCAGACAUUAUAGGCUUCCUUUUGGAAUAUACAACACCAGCACGAAAUAUUUCUGCCAAAUAAUCUAACCUCAUUGUAUUCAAGUCUCUGCUCCUUACAGAAGCUCUCUCUUUAUCUAAACUGGGAGGCAGCUGGGAAUUUGGAUUGAAGAGGAGGGCUGGGAGGGCGAGAGAGGGGUGAGAGAGGAAACAAGAUUAACUUCAGAAUUUGAAGGACAAUUUCACAAAAUAAAUCCUUUAAAAAUCUGGAUUCCUCUUUGUGACAUUGGUUUUGCUUUGAUGAGAGCAUGUUGAUGCAUGAAGACUUCAUGUCAUCUUGGUUGAAAGUGCGCUUUAAAGUUCAAUAGUCA